UGAUUUCUACUUCUCAGUGUAAGUGAGAUACUUAAAGUUUCUUUUUCCCCUUAGUGAACU
rnacentral:tRNA from 1 species